rfam:Streptomyces sp. MBRL 601 scaffold01032, whole genome shotgun sequence.
CUUCACCGACCCCAGGUACAGGGGUUCGGCGCGGUCCUGCCCGUAGGUGGCCAGCAGGGCCUGGGCCUC